GCGAUUCGCCCUUCGGGGUGCACCAGGCGCGAAAACUUUACAAUGCUGGCAACAGCGAUAAGGGGACCUCGAGUGCCAGGAUACAAUCUUGGCUGUCGCGAUGCCUAAAAAGCAUUGCAUAGCAAGGGCCGGGCAAGACCGGUGCCAGCCGCCGCGGUAACACCGGCGGCUCGAGUGGUAACCGCCAUUAUUGGGUCUAAAGGGUCUGUAGCCGGCCGGAUAAGUCUUUUGGGAAAUCCAGCUGCUCAACAGUUGGGCUUUCAGAAGAUACUGUUCGGCUCGAGACCGGGAGAGGUGAGAGGUACUUCAGGGGUAGGGGUGAAAUCUUGUAAUCCUUGAAGGACCACCAGUGGCGAAGGCGUCUCACCAGAACGGAUCUGACGGCAAGGGACGAAAGCUAGGGGCACGAACCGGAUUAGAUACCCGGGUAGUCCUAGCCGUAAACGAUACUCGCUAGGUGUCAGCCACGGUGCGACCGUGGUUGGUGCCGUAGGGAAGCCGUGAAGCGAGCCACCUGGGAAGUACGGCCGCAAGGCUGAAACUUAAAGGAAUUGGCGGGGGAGCAC
rnacentral:rRNA from 1 species